rnacentral:rRNA from 1 species
GGACAUUAUGUGAGGGAGCGGGCUGGUGCCGAAUUUUCCCCGUUUGUUGGCCCAUUUGCCGGUAAUCCUCAAAUUGACUCGCAAGCCAGUAAGUCGGUCGGACCGGUGGGGCUGCAAAGCGGCUUCAGUUCCUCAGCAAUGCCCCCCCGCCCCAUGCCCGUACCUCGGGCGAAGUUUGUGAGGCAGCUAUCUUUUUCCUGACCGGCGGUUGACUCAAGUCGUAACAGGGUAACCGUAAACCAAGGCGACGAUCCGUAACUGGUCUGAGAGGAUGAUCAUUCACACUGGAACUGAGACACGGUCCAAACUCCUACGGGAGGCAGCAGUGGGGAAUAUUGGACAAUGGGCGAAAGCCUGAUCCAGCCAUGCCGCGUGUGUGAAAAAGGUCUUCGGAUUGGGAAGCACUUUAAGUUGGGAGGAAGGGCAGUAAGUUAAUACCUUGCUGUUUUGACGUUACCGACAGAAUAAGCCCGGGCUAACUCUGUGCCAGCAGCCGCGGUAAUACAGAGGGGGCAGGCGUUAAUCGGAAUUACUGGGCGUAAAGCGCGCGUAAGUGGUUUGUUAAGUUGGAUGUGAAACCCCCGGGCUCAGCGGGGGAGGUGGGUGCAAAACU